UAACUGACAAAACUGAGAAAAAUCAUGAUAUACAUAUCAUCGUACUAGAUGCCAAGAAACCCCAAUUAAAGCAAGCUCGACGCAAACCCGAGAGGAAUUAUGUAUAACGUUCUUGACAAAAGAGUGACAAGGCAAGCACUGCAACAUGCGAUUAUUGGCUUUAUGGACGCGUAGUAAUGGAAACAAAAAUUAUGGAGAAGGGAUCAUUAAGAAUUUUUGGGCACUAAGUAACUUUAUGUUGCUGG